UCUGGUGAUGAUGGCGGAGUGGACACACCUGUACCCAUGCCGAACACAGCAGUUAAGCACUCCAGCGGCGACAAUAACCGGGCCUGCCCCGUGUGAAGAUAGCUCAUUGCCAGGU
rnacentral:rRNA from 1 species